rnacentral:rRNA from 1 species
CCUGACUGCUAUCGGAUUGAUACUAAGCCAUGUGAGUCAUUGUAGCAAUACAAGGCAGACGGCUCAGUAACACGUAGCCAAUCUACCCUAUGGACGGGGAUAACCUCGGGAAACUGAGGAUAAUCCCCGAUAGAUCAUUAUGCCUGGAAAGGUUUAUGGUCAAAAUGAUUCGUCGCCGUAGGAUGGGACUGCGGCCUAUCAGCUUGUUGGUGAGGUAAUGGCCCACCAAGGCUAUUACAGGUACGGGCUCUGAGAGGAGAAGCCCGGAGAUGGGUACUGAGACACGGACCCAGGCCCUAUGGGGCGCAGCAGGCGAGAAACCUUUGCAAUGUGCGCAAGCACGACGAGGUUAAUCCGAGUGUUUCCUGCUAAAGGAAUCCUUUGUUAGUCCUAAAAACACUAGUGAAUAAGGGGUGGGCAAGUUCUGGUGUCAGCCGCCGCGGUAAAACCAGCACCUCAAGUGGUCAGGAGGAUUAUUGGGCCUAAAGCAUCCGUAGCCUGCUUUGUAAGUUUCCGGUUAAAUCCAUUAGCUCAACUGAUGGGCCGCCGGAAAAACUGCAAAGCUAGGGAGUGGGAGAGGUAGACGGUACUCGGUAGGAAGGGGUAAAAUCCUUUGAUCUAUUGAUGACCACCUGUGGCGAAGGCGGUCUACCAGAACACGUUCGACGGUGAGGGAUGAAAGCUGGGGGAGCAAACCGGAUUAGAUACCCGGGUAGUCCCAGCUGUAAACGAUGCAGACUCGGUGAUGCCCUGGCUUGUGGCCAGUGCAGUGCCGCAGGGAAGCCGUUAAGUUUGCCGCCUGGGAAGUACGUACGCAAGUAUGAAACUUAAAGGAAUUGGCGGGGGAGCACCACAAGGGGUGAAGCCUGCGGUUC